AGUGAACGCUGGCGGUAGGCCUAACACAUGCAAGUCGAACGGCAGCACAGUAAGAGCUUGCCCUUACGGGUGACGAGUGGCGGACGGGUGAGGAAUACAUCGGAAUCUACUUUUUCGUGGGGGAUAACGUAGGGAAACUUACGCUAAUACCGCAUACGACCUACGGGUGAAAGCAGGGGAUCUUCGGACCUUGCGCGAUUGAAUGAGCCGAUGUCGGAUUAGCUAGUUGGCGGGGUAAAGGCCCACCAAGGCGACGAUCCGUAGCUGGUCUGAGAGGAUGAUCAGCCACACUGGAACUGAGACACGGUCCAGACUCCUACGGGAGGCAGCAGUGGGGAAUAUUGGACAAUGGGCGCAAGCCUGAUCCAGCCAUACCGCGUGGGUGAAGAAGGCCUUCGGGUUGUAAAGCCCUUUUGUUGGGAAAGAAAAGCAGCAGGUUAAUACCCCGCUGUUCUGACGGUACCCAAAGAAUAAGCACCGGCUAACUUCGUG
rnacentral:rRNA from 1 species